CCCCCCCCCCCCCCCCCCCGCGCUGCGCGUGUCGUUGUCUUGUCCUUAGCGGGGCGCCGAGGUUCAUGGAUCUCAAGGCCGGGAAUCGAGCCCCAGUUCUGGAUGCGCAAUAGGUGUUUGAGACAUCCAGUACCGCACCAUGAAAGAGCGGGAGAUGCCGAGCUACAUCAGGAUGCCGUUCCCUCUGAUGCCUCUCACGUCUCUCUUUUCUGCCCUUGGUUCGACUCAAUUCGAUUUGGAUGUUGCAUUGUUGUUACUCAUGAAGGUCCGAUUUGCUUUACUUCCUGAUGCGGUCACGCAGGUCGCCAUUAAGGCCUCGAGCUGGCUGCGACCAAGCACGACCUCUAGCUCGCCCUGCACCGCGAUUGCAGUCGCGCGGCUGAUGGCCAUGGGCUGCUCCACGCACGGACGACAAGCACGGCAUCCGCGAUCAAGGUGCUCUUGCCCCUCUUCUCUUCCCGGUGGCUCUAUCCAUCUCCCCCUGUUUGAUUUGGCUGUCGUUCCAGAUCGUUAGUCGCUAAUUGGAGUAACUCUAUUGGUUAGAAUUAUUUAGAUGCAACAUUUCGGAUUUGCAGUGCGUGGUAAUCCUGUUGAAGGUAUGCUCUUGUGUUUCUUCAAGUUCCAACUAUGAUUUUAAAUUGGGGCUAAGCGAGUGAAGAGAUUUAGGUUCGUUAUGUUCUCACCAUUGCUAGGGCUUUCAUGCUAGACGGACAUUUCUGUGCGACAUGGCAAUGUGAGUGUUUUCCUACUUAUGUUUAGUUCCUGAAUCUCAAUAAAAUAAAACUAUAAAAAUCCUGAGCUACCUCUACACUCACAGAGCUUACAAGUUGGCAUAAUUAGGAUGAACACACAUCUUUACCUUAUCAGGGUGACCCCCAACAGGAAGUAGCUUCGCAUCUAAUGAGAAGUGAUACGCGCAACCUUGUUUUAUGCUUGCUCGAACUGAAGAGAUCUCUUGGAAGAUAAAUGUUGUGUUGCACAUGGAACUUAAUAUAGAACAAAGUAAUGAUAGUUAACCACUUAAUUAGCAGUAAAAAACCAGUCUACACUGUACUGAAAUAUAAAGGUUUAACCACUUAAUUAGCAGUAAAAAAUAGUCUACGCUGUACUGAAAUAUAAAGGUGGGAACCUGGAUGGCUGUACCUUUUUCACGAUGAUCAUUUGGCAUACUUCUCUGAAGAGAACAAACUAAGGAACCAAUGGAGCUACCACAUAAAACAGUGAAAGAAAAUAGGAAGAAAAUAAGCUAGGAUGUGAUCCUGACAUGGCCAUCAGACUUUGUGGCGAUGUUGACAGUUUCUUACAACAUAUGUUUGGUUUGUUUCCACUACAAGGCAAAGCAAGGGAAAAGAACAGGUAAAUCUUGUGUGGCUGUGUGAUGCAUUUCUUGUUGGUAUACGACUAUGACGGUAUUACCGAAUAUUAUUUAUCUUUUACCUUUCUGAAUCUUGUAGCACAACAGAAACAUGAUUUUGUGCUAUUGAAUAAUGCCUCUAUUAGUUUUGAUGGAUUUAGUGAUGAUUUGUUGAUUAUGGUAGUGGGGAUUUGGAGAGAAUCAAGAAGUUGCCACAUGAACUGUCAUUUAUCUCUCUAACUUCCAUUUAGUAAAAUUUCUAUUUCUGAUGUUCUACUCUUUCUGAAUUUUUAUGUGGUGCAUUGUGAAGAUCCUUCUCUGCUACAGGAGAACCUGAGAUGCAACAUCAACGUGGUGGUCAUAUAUCAGAAAGGCAAGUUCUUAUGAAAGGAAGGUACCAUACCAAUACCUUGAUUCCCAUUGGGCUGCAAAUCUGCUGCUUUGGUGUUCCUCCAGUCAGUGUGAAUGGCUGUUUGUAGGUCAACAUCUCCGGCGGCAGGCCAACGGGCACCAUCUCGAGCCAUAGAACCUGCAUGAGAGACAAGAAACACAAGGUCCAUUAUGAGUCUGUACUAGGAUUGAAGUAGGAAGCUGCCAGAGGUGUGUAAUUCAUGUACGGUGAGUGCUUUGCUUGGAUCAAUUGUAUGUACCCCCUGAGUUUUUAGAUUCAUAGCAGUUGACUGAUCUUAA